rfam:Acinetobacter sp. CAG:196 genomic scaffold, scf226
GCGGGGGUAAUUCAGUGGUAGAAUGCCUCCUUGCCAAGGAGGAUGUCGCGAGUUCGAGCCUCGUCUCCCGCU